rnacentral:rRNA from 1 species
AUUGAACGCUGGCGGCAUGCUUUACACAUGCAAGUCGAACGGUAACAGGCCGCAAGGUGCUGACGAGUGGCGAACGGGUGAGUAAUGCAUCGGAACGUGCCCAGUCGUGGGGGAUAACGCAGCGAAAGCUGCGCUAAUACCGCAUACGAUCUCUGGAUGAAAGCGGGGGACCGAAAGGCCUCGCGCGAUUGGAGCGGCCGAUGUCAGAUUAGGUAGUUGGUGGGGUAAAGGCCCACCAAGCCAACGAUCUGUAGCUGGUCUGAGAGGACGACCAGCCACACUGGGACUGAGACACGGCCCAGACUCCUACGGGAGGCAGCAGUGGGGAAUUUUGGACAAUGGGCGCAAGCCUGAUCCAGCAAUGCCGCGUGCAGGAAGAAGGCCUUCGGGUUGUAAACUGCUUUUGUACGGAACGAAACGGUCCGGGUUAAUACCCUGGGCUAAUGACGGUACCGUAAGAAUAAGCACUGGCUAACUACGUGCCAGCAGCCGCGGUAAUAC